AUUGAACGCUGGCGGCAGGCCUAACACAUGCAAGUCGAACGGUAACAGGAAGACGCUUGCUUCUUUGCUGACGAGUGGCGGACGGGUGAGUAAUGUCUGGGAAACUGCCUGAUGGAGGGGGAUAACUACUGGAAACGGUAGCUAAUACCGCAUAACGUCGCAAGACCAAAGAGGGGGACCUUCGGGCCUCUUGCCAUCGGAUGUGCCCAGAUGGGAUUAGCUAGUAGGUGGGGUAACGGCUCCCCUAGGCGACGAUCCCUAGCUGGUCUGAGAGGAUGACCAGCCACACUGGAACUGAGAUACGGUCCAGACUCCUACGGGAGGCAGCAGUGGGGAAUAUUGCACAAUGGGCGCAAGCCUGAUGCAGCCAUGCCGCGUGUAUGAAGAAGGCCUUCGGGUUGUAAAGUACUUUCAGCGGGGAGGAAGGGAGUAAAGUUAAUACCUUUGCUCAUUGACGUUACCCGCAGAAGAAGCACCGGCUAACUCCGUG
rnacentral:rRNA from 1 species